GCUAGCUGUGCUGGUUUUGGAAUAGCAGCCUCACACUGGCAUAUGGACUGUUCUGUAGAUUAAUGCAAGUGGGGCUGUCUUUAAUUUAACUUAUUGCUAGAAAAUAGGGUUUUAAGAUGAAAAGAAAACUUAAAACGGAAUGGCCCUCAUUCAAUAGGUUCUGUGGUUCCAGUAAGGAUUUUUAUGUACAUAUGCUCUCGUCUUUUAAGUUUUGGGUACUUCCUAGCUCAUCUGUUUUAGCUGUGCAUUUUGUUUUUCAGGGUGUACUCUUAGCAGACAUGGAAUAUUAAAUCCCAAGCUGAUAGAACGUAAGGUCUGUUUAUGGUUUAGGCCAUGCCAGUUUUCAGAUUAGUUGACAGUAUUAACACUAAAUUGCAGUUUACAGUAUUUCUACAUUACAGCCAUAUGUUAACAUCAAGCCAUUGAUUGUGUG
rnacentral:lncRNA from 1 species